GAGCUUCUGUCGUGAGCUGCACACAUAGAGAAGUUUGAUUGCUCUACAUUAGGAAUUGACAUCAAGAGAUUUUAGAAGCAUAAUUUUUUGGUACCUGGGCAGUGAGUGAUCAUUGGUCCUGGCACCCAU